UUUAGGUUGAGAUGUAUUUUUAUGUCUUGAUUGAUUAUUAGAAAUAAUUUUUAGUUUAUUUAAUUAACGAGUCUUGGUAAUUUUUGAAAACCGGUGUUGAGAUAUAGUUUUGAUUGGUAUUAGUUAAUAGAUUUUAGAUUUAUUGAUAUAAGACUUUUU
rnacentral:misc_RNA from 1 species